CAUUCCAAAUGAGAGUACAAAGGGGGGCAAGCCCAGUCUUAGGGAAGACAGAGGGCUGGUACCUGCCCAUCUGCCUGCUUCUCUACCACCCCCCCUUAAACUGUUGCUAGAAAACAGAUGGCUGCAGGAGCCCGAAUUUUAAAUUUAUGAAUGGAAAUUUGCACAGAUGUUAGUAAUCAAGAUGCAUGGAUCCAGUGUCGAAGACUGGGAGGGACAACAAAGGAAACAUUUUGAAAGAACAAAGAGGACAAAACUACUAAAGGUCUACAUAGAUGGUCAGUGUUCAUUUACAACUGCUGAAGUGCAUCAGCAAGGAAAAAAAAAAUGCCCUCCAGAGUGCGUCACUGCCCUGGACUUAGGUUAAGUUUCCAAUCAAAUGGCCUCCACUAAAUGUUUGGGAAUAAAGGUUUUAAACUUGUC